ACUCCUACGGGAGGCAGCAGUGGGGAAUAUUGCACAAUGGGGGAAACCCUGAUGCAGCCAUGCCGCGUGUGUGAAGAAGGCCUUCGGGUUGUAAAGCACUUUCAGUAGGGUAGGAAGGUAGUGUAGUUAACACCUGCAUUAUUUGUACGUUACCUACAGAAGAAGCACCGGCUAACUCCGUGCCAGCAGCCGCGGUAAGUACGGAGGGUGCGAGCGUUAAUCGGAAUUACUGGGCGUAAAGCGCAUGCAGGCGGCCUGUUAAGUCAGAUGUGAAAGCCCGGGGUCUUAACCGUCGGAAUUGCAUUUGAAACUGGCAGGCUAGAGUCUUGUAGAGGGGUUAGAAUUUCGAGGUGUAG
rnacentral:rRNA from 1 species